rnacentral:tRNA from 1 species
AAGAUACUAGUAAAAAGAUUACUCUGCUUUGUCAGGGCAGCAUUGUGGGUUAGACUCCCACGUGUCUUA